UACGGGGGGGGCAAGCGUUGUUCGGAAUUACUGGGCGUAAAGGGCUCGUAGGCGGCCAACUAAGUCAGACGUGAAAUCCCCGGGCUCAACCUGGGAACUGCAUCUGUGACUGCAUCGCUGGAGUGCGGCAGAGGAGACUGGAAUUCCUGGUGUAGCAGUGAAAUGCGUAGAUAUCAGGAGGAACACCGAUGGCGAAGGCAGGUCUCUGGGCUGACACUGACGCUCAUGCACGAAAGCGUGGGGAGCAAACAGG
rnacentral:rRNA from 1 species